GGAAGGUUGAUGGGUACACUGGGAGUCCUGGAAAAUUAUGACUGGAGAUUGGGGGUGUUUCAGGAAAAUAGGUUGCAUUCUGGGGUUGUCUCUUAGAAUAUGGACCUUUCUGGCACCCUGGAGACCUCCAGAUGACUGGGGUUUGCUCUGGAAGAUAAGGGGUCCCCGGAUCAUUAAGAAGUUUGGAAGGCGGUGUGGCAGACUGCUGGGACCCUGAGAUCUAGGCCUGGCUGGGAACCACGUCUGGCCCCCUCCCCCAAGAUGUGGAGGUCCUCAGAAGUCUGACUGGAGCAUCCCUGGGCUCACUGCCCUGCAGCCGCCCACCUUGAGCACCAGUUUGCUGGCAAAGUAGAAGAGGGCAACAACCCGGCCCCAGUUGAAGUUGCCAUCAGAAAACAUCUCAGCUGCCACUCGGAAGAAGACCUCACGGGGAGAGUCUGUGUCCACAGCUGCGAUCAUCCUGCAGGAAAGAGGAAAGACAGUGCUGUAGAGGGAAGAUCAAGCAGUGUGGAGACUCUGGCAUCCACCUUGUACCAAAGACAAGGAAACUGAGGCCCAAGCCAGGCUGACAUGAAAAAGAAGGGGCCAACAUGGGGGAAAGGGACAAGAUGGACAUUUAGGAAAGUGGAGAAAAUGAGUCCCUAAGGGAAGGUUUCAAUAUUCUGAAAGAUGGGCUGAGUCCAGGGUGCUGAGUAGAGGUGGUGGGGCCCUGGACUAUUGGGUCUGCGGGAAUAGGAGGGUGUGGGUCUGAACUCCAGGCUCCUAGGGGAAAAGGGGUCUGAGAGUCAGAACUCCAGGGUUCUGAGGGAGAAGGGGACCAAUGGCUGGACUCCUGGGGCCCCGGGGGGCCACACCUCUGCAACUCCAUGUUACUGUCCAGUUCAUCUCCGAUGCGCUUGAGACAUUCGCUCAGCUUCUUGGUGGAUGCAUCCUGGGGCACCUGCUCCAAGGGCAGCUCAGGUGUCUCUCCCCCCAUUCGCCCUGCUCGAUCUUGGAUGAAACUAGAGUGGGAAUGGAGUGGGAGGGGUGCAGAAUCAGAAUGGGGCAUCACUCCUGAAAUCCGCUCAGCAAUAAUCACACCUCAAACUCACCCCUGAAGCAAAAGGGCCCCUGUCUUCAUGAUCUGCUCAGAGCUGGUGGGCCCUAGAGGAGAAAGGAGGGAAGAGGUGCCUGGACUCUUGGGUCCUAGGGGACCCAGCGAACUAGGGUGGCUCAUGAUCUCAGAGGGAGGACAACACUAGAGGGUCCUGUAUUUCUGGGUUCCUGGUAGAUACUGAGGCUAGGGGCCCGGACCAUGAGUCCCUGAUGGAGAAAAAGGCAGGGAGCCUAGGCCUGUAUCCUACGUUCUUCUGGCGGAGGAGGCUGAGGGAACGCUUCAUGCAUCCCAGACCCCUGGCCUGAGGGGGCAGAGGAGAGACCCGCCCCUCCCACCAGGAAGUGGUGCCGGCGACAAGCCCGGGCCUGCCCCGGGGGCUUGGACUCUGGGGUCUCCAGGUUCUCGGGGGUCCGAGGACACCAGGCAAGAAGGAAUCGGGGCACGGAGGCCAGAGAGCCAGGAACCCCCGGGGAGGGAGGGGGCUGGAAGCUGGCAGCGCCCGAUCCGGGAGUUUCUGCCCGGGAGUGCUUGGAGAUCGCACGGCCCCAGACCGGCAGGAGAGAUCGUGGGGCCGGCCGGCGAGGGGGCUCGCCCUCCUCCCGCCCGUCUGCCUCCCGCCUCACCCCCGCCUCUGGGUUGCUCCCCGGACCCGUCCAUCACCGCCGCUCCCGCCGCCGCCUCUCGCCGGGUCCGCCCGGGCGGCCGCAGCACGCCCCUCGUCACGUGACCGCCCCGCUGAGCGUGCGUCCUCUCACGUGAUCGCCCCGCAAAAUGGUGGCCGCGCGCUGUCGCCCCGCAGAGCCGUCCGGUCACGUGACCGCACCUGCCUCACCUGCCUGGGGAAGCCUCGGCCCCUAUCGCUUGACGGUCCAAGCCGCCCUUCCUAGUAGGAACCGGGUAGUGGCGCCGUUCUACCGGCCACUAGAUGGAUGGCGGCUGUGACUUUCAUUCGUUUGUGCAGUAUUUUCGGAAGUUUCUGGUGGGCUUUGAGCCCUCCCCAGGGCAGAAGGAACAUCGAAGGCCAAAAAUAUCGUUUACUGAGGCAGGACGUUUCAGAUGAUGAAAGUCUGUGAGUUGUUUUUGUGAAAAUAAAGGGAACAUGAAGUUCAAAAAGUGGCAAAACUAAUCUGUGGUGAUAGAUUGGCAGGGUAUGAGCAAGGAGGGGCCCCCAGACAGGCACCCUGGGGCAUGAACCGAGCCAUGUCUUCAUCUAGGUGAUGAUUACUUGGGUAUGCGCAUGUGGAAAAACUCAUGCAGCUAUGCAUGUGAAAUGUGCCCUUUACUGCAUGGAAAUUAUAUCUCUUUUUAGAAAGAAAAGAGGGGGACGCCGGGGUGGCUCAGUGGUUGAGCGUAGGCCUUUGGCUCAG